CAACUCGGGGCUACGCGCCUCGUUGGCUAUCUAUCAUCUCAUAUCCAACGCGCGCUCGUGGAAUAAUUGUUAGAUAUGACAUAGGCAGAGGUGGUAACUUUAAUGAUGUGGAGAUCACGCCUUCACUAUAAAGCAAUGGUUUGAUUAAUUGUGUACCGUUGUGAACUCACUUGGCUGGCUUGUACCAAAGGUAUUCAUUUUACUUUGUUAGUUAUACAUUUUAGUCCUGCAAAGGAUAAGUUCACUGAGGAAAGAAGAGAGCCUAAGUAGGAAAAGCAUAUUUAAAGAAAUGUAGAGACAUUCAAAGGAUAAUUAAGAUCAAGUGUAUUUCCUUGUUAUAUACAUUGGUUAUAUUUGUUUUAAGUAACAAGAAAUAGUGACAGUCAUAAGUUCUAUGGAAUUCUGAAUAGCAAUUUACACCGGAGCCAUUUCCCAGUUUGAGUGGAGUUUAAUGAAUAAUCCACAGGCAACAGGUUUAAAUGUGUGAAAUGAUUUCAGGUUCAGAAUUUGUGCGAGGGUUCAUGCCAACUUUUCGGUUUGUGGUUAGUUUCUUGUUUCCAUGUGGCCUGACAAAGCAACAUCCACAAUAAACUAACUGCCGCUAUUUUUAAUAACCAUCUACUUCCAAACAACUUGACAGCCCUCCAAUAAAAAUCAAAGGAGACUGAUAGUUGUGUCGGUAUAAUUGUGGUAAACUUUGAAUACUUGAAGAACUAUCAUUAUUUGUUCAGGUAUUUAUCUGGAUAGUUAUGAGGGAAGAAAGAUCAAACCAUUUUGGUGGGAAAGAAACAAAGUUGUUUUCAGCUGCUGUAACAUGAAUAUGUUUUUGUUAUUUAUCAUACUUUCAUUAUUUUAAUAUUUAAGAUAAACUGUGUGAUAAUUAGUAACUAAUUGGCAUGUUCGAUUUGAAUGACUUAAAGUGUUCAGCGGAACAUUAGUAUCGUUAUGAAACGUAGGGAAAAAAGACCCCUAGAAUCAUUCCUUCAAUGUUAAUUCUGGAAAUUUACUUGGACCGUCAUCCAGUUAUUUUGGAGCUACUGCUAGCUCAGACAGUGACUACAACAUAUUAAGUCCAAAUUUCUUGAUAAAAGACUUUGCACGUAGUACAAGAGAACCUCAAGUACCACGAGGUGGGCCUCUUCUAUCUUUGGUUCAGGAUUGAGCUCCAAUUUGCCCAAGGCUACAGAAUAUCAAAGAUCUGCCAAACCUGACACAAAUGCAAGAAGAAAUCUUUCUAAGAUUAUAGCCAAGAUAGGCUAGUUCUGAGAUGAGCAAACACUAUGACAGAAAGUCAUUGAAGUUGCCUGACUGAUUCACGUGCUUGAAAUUGAGUAGCAGGAAGAGAGGAGAUAGAGAGCUGUUGCGUUGGAAAAUUGAAAUAACAGCAGAAUUAGCAAAGAGAGGAAGGGAGCUGGAGAAAGCCAGAUGGUGGUACCAGUGUCCAGGGGCAUUUGGAAGACCCAUACAUAUUUGGGAGAAUUCUGUGAAUUCUAUGAGCUUCUUGAUGCACAAUCAACAGCUCUCGCAACCAACAGCUUUCAGGGAUUGUUAAAGGGAUAUAGGAGAGUAACAUGGAUGAGGAUUAUAGCAGGGAACCCACAGAUUAUGUCACAAAUUUACUGGUAAAGAGGUGUUAAUGGUUCUUGAAGUUUCUAGAAUGAGUGUCAAAGUGGAAAGGGAUCGCUUAAGUUGUGUGAGCGUUAUCAAGAUGCAAGCACAAUUGGUACAAGUUGUUUCAAGUAUCAGUAUUGGAUGCACUACAGGAGUUUUUGUCAAAUUUUGUAAUGCGAACCUGUUUAUUAUCAAGCUGAUUUGGGUCAACUUAUCACAUUGCCCGGCUUCCGGGGAUGACAUUUUUCUCCAAGGGUAACAGUACCCCAAGUUCUGCAUCGGAGAAAAACUUUUAAGAAGUGAAGCUUAUUGUUGUUUAAGGAGUAUUAGAGAAGUGAAUUACUCGAGACAUGCCCGUGAAACAAGAUUCUGGUUCGUCUUAGAACUUCCUGUCACUUCAACAGGCAAUCACGUUUGUUACUUGUGAGUGGGAACUUUCCUCAUUUUUUUUGAAGUUAGCCAAAUAUACCAAAAAUCUUUUAUUUUUAUCUAGUAAAAUGAGAGAAGCAGAUGUGAUUAUUUUUAAUACAGUGAAGAUCACACCUUCACUAUAAAACAAUCAUUAUGGACUAACCUUGUAAAUCUCGCAUGGCUAGCCCGUAUUGUUAUGUCCUUUUAUUCAUUUUAUCAGAUAUAACAUAAGAAAGAACUUGUGCUAAAUAAAUAGGAAAAUUGUUGUAAAAUUUAAUAGUAUUGAGUGGGCAAAAUAUCGUUAAGACGAAUAAUAUGCCCUGUGUUUGAUUUAUCAUCUCACAGGUUUAUGUCGAAUUAAUUUGAUGACGUGCUCCCAGUUGGCCUGUUAGCUCA
rnacentral:lncRNA from 1 species